AACGAACGCUGGCGGCAGGCUUAACACAUGCAAGUCGAACGCACCUUUCGGGGUGAGUGGCAGACGGGUGAGUAACGCGUGGGAAUCUACCCUUCUCUACGGGAUAGCUCCGGGAAUCUGGAAUUAAUACCGUAUACGUCCUGAGGGAGAAAGAUUUAUCGGGGAAGGAUGAGCCCGCGUUGGAUUAGCUAGUUGGUGGGGUAAAGGCCUACCAAGGCGACGAUCCAUAGCUGGUCUAAGAGGAUGAUCAGCCACAUUGGGACUGAGACACGGCCCAAACUCCUACGGGAGGCAGCAGUGGGGAAUAUUGGACAAUGGGCGCAAGCCUGAUCCAGCCAUGCCGCGUGAGUGAUGAAGGCCCUAGGGUUGUAAAGCUCUUUCAGGGGGGACGAUAAUGACGGUACCCACAGAAGAAGCCCCGGCUAACUUCGUG
rnacentral:rRNA from 1 species